GAUGAACGCUGGCGGCGUGCCUAAUACAUGCAAGUCGAGCGAACAGAUGAGGAGCUUGCUCCUCUGACGUUAGCGGCGGACGGGUGAGUAACACGUGGAUAACCUACCUAUAAGACUGGGAUAACUUCGGGAAUCCGGAGCUAAUACCGGAUAAUAUAUUGAACCGCAUGGUUCAAUAGUGAAAGACGGUUUUGCUGUCACUUAUAGAUGGAUCCGCGCCGCAUUAGCUAGUUGGUAAGGUAACGGCUUACCAAGGCAACGAUGCGUAGCCGACCUGAGAGGGUGAUCGGCCACACUGGAACUGAGACACGGUCCAGACUCCUACGGGAGGCAGCAGUAGGGAAUCUUCCGCAAUGGGCGAAAGCCUGACGGAGCAACGCCGCGUGAGUGAUGAAGGUCUUCGGAUCGUAAAACUCUGUUAUUAGGGAAGAACAAAUGUGUAAGUAACUAUGCACGCCUUGACGGUACCUAAUCAGAAAGCCACGGCUAACUACGUG
rnacentral:rRNA from 1 species